rnacentral:rRNA from 1 species
AGCGAACGCUGGCGGCAGGCUUAACACAUGCAAGUCGAGCGGGCAUAGCAAUAUGUCAGCGGCAGACGGGUGAGUAACGCGUGGGAACGUACCUUUUGGUUCGGAACAACUGAGGGAAACUUCAGCUAAUACCGGAUAAGCCCUUACGGGGAAAGAUUUAUCGCCGAAGAUCGGCCCGCGUCUGAUUAGCUAGUUGGUGAGGUAAUGGCUCACCAAGGCGACGAUCAGUAGCUGGUCUGAGAGGAUGAUCAGCCACAUUGGGACUGAGACACGGCCCAAACUCCUACGGGAGGCAGCAGUGGGGAAUAUUGGACAAUGGGCGCAAGCCUGAUCCAGCCAUGCCGCGUGAGUGAUGAAGGCCCUAGGGUUGUAAAGCUCUUUUGUGCGGGAAGAUAAUGACGGUACCGCAAGAAUAAGCCCCGGCUAACUUCGUG